GACGAACGCUGGCGGCGUGCUUAACACAUGCAAGUCGAACGGCAAGGCCCUGCUUUUGUGGGGUGCUCGAGUGGCGAACGGGUGAGUAACACGUGAGUAACCUGCCCUUGACUUUGGGAUAACUUCAGGAAACUGGGGCUAAUACCGGAUAGGAGCUCCUGCUGCAUGGUGGGGGUUGGAAAGUUUCGGCGGUUGGGGAUGGACUCGCGGCUUAUCAGCUUGUUGGUGGGGUAGUGGCUUACCAAGGCUUUGACGGGUAGCCGGCCUGAGAGGGUGACCGGCCACAUUGGGACUGAGAUACGGCUCAGACUCCUACGGGAGGCAGCAGUGGGGAAUAUUGCACAAUGGGCGGAAGCCUGAUGCAGCAACGCCGCGUGCGGGAUGACGGCCUUCGGGUUGUAAACCGCUUUCGCCUGUGACGAAGCGUGAGUGACGGUAAUGGGUAAAGAAGCACCGGCUAACUACGUG
rnacentral:rRNA from 1 species